GAUGAAGAACGUAGCGAAAUGCGAUAAGUAGUGUGAAUUGCAGAAUUCAGUGAAUCAUCGAAUCUUUGAACGCACAUUGCGCCCCAUGGUAUUCCGUGGGGCAUGCCUGUUCGAGCGUCAUUUACCCCCUCAAGCUCCGCUUGGUGUUGGGCGUCUGUCCCGCUUCGCGCGCGGACUCGCCCCAAAGGUAUUGGCAGCGGUCGUGCCGGCUUCUCGCGCAGCACAUUGCGCUUCUCGAGGCACCGGUGGGCCCGCGUCCAUCAAGCUCACCCCCCCAGUUUGACCUCGGAUCAGGUAGGGAUACCCGCUGAACUUAAGCAUAUCAAUAAGCGGAGGA
rnacentral:misc_RNA from 1 species